AUUCCGGUUGAUCCUGCCGGAGGACAUUGCUAUUGGGAUUCGAUUUAGCCAUGCUAGUCGAGCGAGUUCAGACUCGCGGCGAAUAGCUCAGUAACACGUGGCCCAGCUCCCCUUCGGCCAGCGAUACCCUCGGGAAACUGAGGUUAACAGCUGAUACAAAACGCCAGCUGGAAUGCGGCGUUUCAGAAAGACAUCGCUGAAGGAUGCGGCUGCGGCCGAUUAGGUAGACGGUGGGGUAACGGCCCACCGUGCCAGUAAUCGGUACGGGUGAUGAGAGUCAGAGCCCGGAGACGGAAUCUGAGACAAGAUUCCGGGCCCUACGGGGCGCAGCAGGCGCGAAACCUUUACACUGCACGGAAGUGCGAUAGGGGAAUCCCAAGUGCGAGGGCAUAUUAGCCCUCGCUUUUCUCGACUGUAAGGUGGUCGACGAAUAAGAGCUGGGCAAGACCGGUGCCAGCCGCCGCGGUAAU
rnacentral:rRNA from 1 species